rnacentral:pre_miRNA from 1 species
AGGGACUUUUGGGGGCAGGUGUGUUUCAGCUGCAUAAUCAUAAUGCCCCUAAAAAUCCUUA